AGCCCCGUCGUCUAGUGGCCAAGGAUAGUGGCCUUUGGAGCCAUUGACCGAGGUUCGAAUCCUCGCGGGGCUA
rnacentral:tRNA from 1 species